rnacentral:lncRNA from 1 species
ACAGAAGACGAAGAGCUGGAAUAGAGCUCGCCUCGGCUCUGCUGGCCUUGGCUGCAGCUCUUCCAGAAACCCGGGGCGCCCACAGAAGAAUCUCUUACCUGGCUCUCUCUUCAGGGAUGACAUCAUCGGCUCACACCAGUCUUCCAGGACCACCUUCUGGAUGCCAAGGCUGCUGCUCGAGUACCUGCUGUGCACCUCUACCUCCUGGUACCCCAGCCACUCCCUCAAGUUGCCUGCAUGUUAUAUGGCCUAGCCAAGGAGCACGGAUUCCAGGAACCCACUACCAUACAGAGCAACUCCUUGUGGACCCCCCUGGGAUCAGGACAGCGAGGGACAAGCGACAAAGAGGAUCAUCAGUGGCCAGCUAGUUUCUCUGGGGUUCAAACCUUGAACCAGUGCCCUAGUGAGGGGGCACUGGCCAUGGCCCUUGACCUUUGCUCUGCUUGUGUCUUGAGUCUGAGCCCUUUCCUGUACAUCUGUGCUCGUGUUCAUCUGCUAGUGAACUGGAGUGCUGCCCUCCCCGAGGAGGGUCGUCCCUUGUGACUGAUCAUGCUGUCCUAACAAUGUCCUGAGCAAAAGGGUCCCUUUGGGAACCUCUCAGGAGGGGGACCCGGGUCAGGGGCGACCAGCAUCUUGCUGGCAACUCCGUGGGUGGGGUGGGGUGGGGUGCUUCCUUCUGGAAUGAGCACGUGGCUGACCCCCCAAGGCAUGUCCCCUCCCCCUCCUCCACCCACCUUCUCGGAGAUGUCCCUUUUGGGGUAGUGGGGACAUUAGGAGCAACCUCCUAGGGUUGUUGUGAGAAUUAAAUGAACUGCAGCAGCCUGAGGCAGGGCUGGGCAGAGACCUCAGCACAUGUUUGUUGAAAGGUUUGCAGGUGGAUCUAGUCCUCCCGUUCAUGGCUCAUGUGUCUCAACCAUUCUCUCGCAGACUCCUGCAGCCCCUAUGCCCAGGGCUCUCCUUGCGCCAGCCCCGGCUUCUCGAGGCCUGUCUACACUCGCUGCUUUCCUUCCUCACCUCCAAUUUCCCCUCCAACCCACUGCUUCCUGACUCGCUCUUCUCCAUCGAACGGCUCUCGCUCAGCCUCCCUCUGUUUGUCUCCCUCCCUCUCCCAAUUGGAUCUGGCCCCUGUUGGGGUGCCCCUAGGCCACCCCUUCCUCUUCUGGGUGUCCCAGCACCAACCCGCCUCCUGGUGCCUGUUGGACCAUCCCUUGCUGGUUCUUCAUUUCCUGUGGGCCUAGUUUCCAGGGGCUGAGUGACCAGGGUCUUAAAACAGGUUUAAGGCUUGGCUUGCUGGCCCUGGAGAUCCCGUCGCCGUCUUCGUCGAACUCGAAAUCCUAGCCAUCGUCCUUCCCUGGCCUGUCGCGUCUUCCUGUGCCAUUUGCUGUUGUGCUCAGGUUCCACGAGCUGCCCAUCUCCACAGAAGAGCAGCUGGCAUUGCCCACCGGCCAUGCCGGCUGAAGAAAAGAAGACUGAGGACCCCAGGAUGCCCAGCGCGAGGACCCCAGGAAGCCCAGCGCGAGGACUCCACCCACGACGCCCAGCGCGAGGACUUCACGCACAACACGUUGCAACCCUCCUGGAUUAGGCCAAAGCCAUCAUCUGGAAUCCUGCGUGGGACCCUGGACACACGGACACAGACACCUGCCCCCAGGACCCUCCAACUGUAAAUCGAUUGGAAGCGCCCUUGUGAGCUGGGGCCUUCAAAGGGCUGAGGAGAAAAUGCAGGCCGAGAGACCAGCUUCUCAAAUAGGCUUCAAGCCUCCAUGACCUGAGCUCACCCCCUGGAAAUGUCUGGAAAACAUAAUGGGCAGGUUUUCUGUCUUCAAAGUUUCCAUCAAAACCUCUUCAAGUUCUUUAUUGUUUAGGACUGAGACACUUGGGGACAGUAAUGGGGACUUUCUUUUGUAUCUGUCUUGAAAGGCCAAAAUAUUUUUAUAUUGCUGUAGACAAAGCCACCUAUUUACAAAUGGACUCUUGUUCCGUCGUUUCCCACCAGGAAGACCGUACUAUGUUUGUGUCUCUAUGUAUUCUGGGGUCUUGAAACAGGUUUCUCAUGGGGAUGGCCAUUCACUAGAGCCCAGAGGGGCAGAAGGGGAAGUGUCUACCCUGCCAAGGGGGUCUGGGGAAGGAGGGGGGCUAGUCUCAGAUUUGCUCCUUGUAUGUCUAGGGUAAACCCUGGGAGAAUCUGGUGGUAAAAGAACAUAUGCUGUGUUUGCCCCA